rnacentral:rRNA from 1 species
GAUGAACGCUGGCGGCGUGCCUAAUACAUGCAAGUCGAACGCUGGAGAUCUAGCUUGCUAGAUCGAAGGAGUGGCGAACGGGUGAGUAAUACAUAAGCAACCUACCCACGAAGACUGGGAUAAUCUCUGGAAACGGGGACUAAUACCGGAUAGGUAAUCGGAAGGCAUCUUCUGGUUAUUAAAGGUUAAAAACACUGGUGGAUGGGCUUAUGGCGCAUUAGUUAGUUGGUGAGGUAACGGCCCACCAAGACGAUGAUGCGUAGCCGGCCUGUGAGGGUGAACGGCCAUAUUGGGACUGAGACACGGCCCAGACUCCUACGGGAGGCAGCAGUAGGGAAUUUUCGGCAAUGGGGGCAACCCUGACCGAGCAACGCCGCGUGAGUGAAGACGGCCUUCGGGUUGUAAAGCUCUGUUGUAAGGGAAGAACGGUAGAUAGAGAAUAUCUAAGUGACGGUACCUUACCAGAAAGCCACGGCUAACUACGUG